rnacentral:ncRNA from 1 species
CCAAAAGCCCUUUUAAGGGCUACCCAAUUUAUUCAAAAAGAAUCUA